GGAGGAAAGUAGGGGAUCGAAAGACCUUAUGCUUUUGGAGCGGCCGAUGUCUGAUUAGCUAGUUGGUAAGGUAAUGGCUUACCAAGGCAACGAUCAGUAGUUGGUCUGAGAGGACGACCAGCCACACUGGGACUGAGACACGGCCCAGACUCCUACGGGAGGCAGCAGUGGGGAAUUUUGGACAAUGGGCGCAAGCCUGAUCCAGCAAUGCCGCGUGAGUGAAGAAGGCCUUCGGGUUGUAAAGCUCUUUCAGUUGAGAAGAAAAGAUUGUAACUAAUAAUUGCAAUUCAUGACGGUAUCAACAGAAGAAGCACCGGCUAACUACGUGCCAGCAGCCGCGGUAAUACGUAGGGUGCGAGCGUUAAUCGGAAUUACUGGGCGUAAAGGGUGCGCAGGCGGUUCUUGUAAGUCAGGGAUGGUGAAAAAUUCCCCCCC
rnacentral:rRNA from 1 species